rnacentral:rRNA from 1 species
UACAGAGGGUGCAAGCGUUGUCCGGAAUUACUGGGUGUAAAGGGCGUGUAGGUGGUUAUUUAAGUCAGAGGUGAAAUCCCCGGGCUUAACCUGGGAAUUGCCUAUGAAACUGAAUAGCUAGAGUGCGGGAGAGGGAAGUGGAAUUUCCGGUGUAGCGGUGAAAUGCGUAGAUAUCGGAAGGAACACCAGUGGCGAAGGCGACUUCCUGGCCCGUUACUGACACUGAGGCGCGAAAGCGUGGGGAGCGAACAGG